ACACCAUAGCUUAAUAACCAAUCUAUCUUAAUGCUACACCAGAACUUAAUUCGAAACAUCACAGGAAAAAGAUUGCAUCUAAACCAAAACCAAGUAAAGUACCAACAAGGACUAUCAGUAAUCAUGGAUAUUUACUCUGAAAAUGUGAUACAUACAAAGUUCAUUAACAACAACCACAAUGUGACUCUUUAGGACUAUCAGUAAUCAUGGAUAUUUACUCUGAAAAUGUGAUACAUACAAAGUUCAUUAACAACAACCACAAUGUGACUCUUUGGACAUAAGUUAAUCUCGACAAUGGCAGGGAAGGGAACAAUCCACAACAUCAUCAGACUUAAACCCGCCACACAAAAACAAACACUAGCAUAAUGUAAUUGUUACGGGAGAACGGUCAUAU
rnacentral:lncRNA from 1 species